rnacentral:piRNA from 1 species
AACGUAGAUCCUUUGAAAGAGCA